CUGGGCAAGCGAGCGGUACCCCUUCGGGGGUGAAGCUCGUGGAACGAGCGGCGGACGGGUGAGUAACACGUGGGCAACCUGCCUGUAAGACCGGAAUAACCCCGGGAAACCGGGGCUAAUGCCGGGUAACACUUUCCUCCGCAUGGAGGAGAGUUGAAAGAUGGCUUCUAGCUAUCACUUACAGAUGGGCCCGCGGCGCAUUAGCUAGUUGGUGAGGUAACGGCUCACCAAGGCGACGAUGCGUAGCCGACCUGAGAGGGUGAUCGGCCACACUGGGACUGAGACACGGCCCAGACUCCUACGGGAGGCAGCAGUAGGGAAUCUUCCGCAAUGGACGAAAGUCUGACGGAGCAACGCCGCGUGAACGAUGAAGGUCUUCGGAUCGUAAAGUUCUGUUGUUAGGGAAGAACAAGUACCGUGCGAAUAGAGCGGUACCUUGACGGUACCUAACGAGGAAGCCCCGGCUAACUACGUGCCAGCAGCCGCGGUAAUACGUAGGGGGCAAGCGUUGUCCGGAAUUAUUGGGCGUAAAGCGCGCGCAGGCGGUUUCUUAAGUCUGAUGUGAAAGCCCACGGCUCAACCGUGGAGGGUCAUUGGAAACUGGGGAACUUGAGGACAGAAGAGGAGAGUGGAAUUCCACGUGUAGCGGUGAAAUGCGUAAUUUUUGAGGAACGUGGAAGGAUUUGUUUGUUUACUAGUAAUGUUAAAAGAUUAAUACUGUUCCAUCAAAAUAUUAUGUUUGGGUUCCCAUUAAUAAUUAACCCGGAUGGGGAGAA
rnacentral:rRNA from 1 species